UACGGGGGGGGCAAGCGUUGUUCGGAAUUACUGGGCGUAAAGGGCUCGUAGGCGGCCAACUAAGUCAGACGUGAAAUCCCCAGGCUUAACCUGGGAACUGCGUCUGAUACUGGAUGGCUUGAAUCCGGGAGAGGGAUGCAGAAUUCCAGGUGUAGCGGUGAAAUGCGUAGAUAUCUGGAGGAAUACCGGUGGCGAAGGCGGCAUCCUGGACCGGUAUUGACGCUGAGGCGCGAAAGCCAGGGGAGCAAACGGG
rnacentral:rRNA from 1 species